CGGAAGAGGCGGCCUGGAAAGGGGAAGUCGCGUUUUCUCUGGGAGGACUGGGGAGAAUUACUCUCCGCUGCGCUCCACAGCGGCCGAAAGGGUUGAAGGGUCAGUCCGCGAGUUGUAGGUCAUGGCGCUGGCCGCUCGCCUCUGGCGCUUUCUGCCUUGGGGACGUCGCGUCUUUCCAGGACCUUGGCUCUCGAGGGGUGUUGCUGGCAGCCGCGGGCUGUGCUGUACUAGGCGACUCCGCGGCUCUGAGGUGAUGGGAAAUCUAGGAGCUUUCAAAAGAAGCCUUUUAUUGUCAGCUUUACCUUAUUUGGGUUUUGAAGCAUACCAAGUAUUUUCCCAGGCUGCUAUGGUUCAUGCCACAGCCAAAGUCUUCAGAGUUGAAGAAAUUCUUGAGCAAGCAGACUACCUAUAUGAGAGUGGAGAAACAGAAAAACUUUAUCAGUUGCUGACCCAAUACAAGGAAAGUGAAGAUGCAGAGUUACUGUGGCGAUUGGCACGGGCAUCACGUGAUAUAGCUCAGCUUAGUGGAACCUCAGAAGAGGAGAAAAAACUCCUGAUUUAUGAAGCCCUAGAGUAUGCAAAAAGAGCACUAGAAAAAAAUGAAUCCAGUUUUGCAGCUCAUAAGUGGUAUGCAAUCUGUAUUAGUGAUGUUGGAGAUUAUGAAGGCAUCAAGGCUAAAAUUGCAAAUGCCUACAUUAUCAAGGAGCAUUUUGAGAAAGCAAUUGAACUGAACCCAAAAGAUGCUACCUCAAUUCACCUUAUGGGUAUUUGGUGUUAUACAUUUGCUGAAAUGCCUUGGUAUCAGAGAAGAAUUGCUAAAGUGCUGUUCGCAACUCCUCCUAGUUCCACCUAUGAGGAGGCAUUAGGCUACUUUCACAGGGCAGAGCAAGUGGAUCCAAAUUUCUACAGCAAAAACUUGCUACUUUUAGGAAAGACGUAUUUGAAGUUACACAAUAAAAAGCUUGCUGCCUUCUGGCUAAUGAAAGCCAAGGACUAUCCGGCACACACAGAGGAGGAUAAACAGAUACAGACAGAAGCUGCUCAGUUGCUUACAGGUUUCAGUGACAAGAAUUGAGAAUUUUUCAGAGAAGAAAGCCAACGAAGUAUCUAAGAAACAUUGCCUUUUCAUGAAAUAACAAAGAUAAUAUGUGAACUGUAACUGUUCUUGGCUGUUUUCUCGGUUCCUUUAAUGUGACCAUUAACAAAGUAAAUGAGCAAAAUUCUAAGUUUCUUCACAAACAAUAAGGCAAAAGAAAUAAUUACCAAAAAAUUGGUAGAGACUUCUCCCUGGCUCAGAGGCAGAGAUUAUUGCACAUUUAGGCACUAGCAAUACAAAGUGGUAUAGAUUUCUGAGGAGGAUGGAUCACAUCAGAAUGGGAGAUCAAGAAAAAAAGCUUUGUGUCAGAGGCUUCAUUGGGGGGUGUGCAUUGCCAAAUUGGACUGAUGCAAAGUUGAGAUCUUGCAGAGAAGGUGCAGUGAAAAUGAGGUUAGGAUGUUGAGGGUUCUUGGUAUAAAGUAAUUAAAUGAUGGAUCUUGGAACCAACCUGUGUUAAGGAAAAAACUUUAAGUCAGGAGAGGACAGAAAAUGGAGUGUUUUGUGUGUUUUUUUUUUUAAUGUGACAUGGUCUUACAAGUGAAAGAUUGAUUUUGUUACUUGACAAACCCAGGUUCUCUUCCCUAAUGUGGUGAAAGGAACAUAGAACUCAAGUGUGAAAUAGAAAUGAAGAUGUUUUACAUAGGCAGGACCGUAUUACUUGAGGCUGCAGAACUGUUUUAUAAAAAGGAUUAUCUUGAAUCCUAUGAAUCACUUAGAUAAAUCAAGAAUGCAUGCAUAGGUAGGUAUUCCCCCAAGGGAGUUGGAUAUUGUAAAGUUAACAGUGAACCGUGAGGGUGUGGGCUGUUUGUGUUGUCAUGCAUAUUUUUCGAACAAAAAGGAAAAUGAAAGUCCUGGACUCUAUAUACCCAUCUCCAAUUGCUAAUCUUCAGCUAUAUUUUACUGUUUUGUGUGUGUGUGUGUGUAUUUCUAAACUUUUGAAAUUGUAGACAAUAUACUUCAUCCCUAAGUAUUUAAGCAUGCAGUCUCAGAAUGACAUCCUUCUAAACAAAAACCCAUUAGCACAACAAAAAGUUAACAGUAAUUCUUUAAAACCAUAUUCUGAUACCAGCCAUAUUUGUAUUUUCUCAAAUGUCCCAGGAAUGUCUUACCAAUUUUAAAAACCAGGAUCCAAUCAACCAUACAUUGUAUUUGAUUUUCGGCCUUAGUUUUUAAAAAUCUAGAAGAAUUCUCCCAUUUUUUUUUUUAAUCCCACCAUUCAUUGACUUUUUUUUUGAACAGGCCAGUCAUCUUAGAGUCUCUCUCAUUCCAGAUUUGCCGUACCCCACUUUGGGAACCACUGUUUCAUCUUUUCAGUGACUCUGAUUAACUUUAUGUAAUUUGAUCUUCUUUGCCUAAUUUUUUAUCACUUCUCUGAUUUUUUACCUCUUUCCGUUUCAUUUCCUUGGCUCUUUGAAUUUCUGUCUUCCAUGUCUCUAUUGUUUUCUUCCUCAGAUACCUUUGGUCUUCACUUGAGAUGUUUGUCUUUUUCUUCCAUUAUUUCCCCUGAUUUCAAUCAGCAGGCAUUUCACAUUUGCAUGUAGUUUGUCCAGUUCUGAGUUUUUUAAUUUUUAAUUUGAUUUAGUUUUGAUAGUUACUUACAUUUAAUUCAUUAGUAUAUUGUGUUAAAGAAUGUUUUUUUCUGUUUUGAGUAUCUUCAUCUGAAAUUUUUUCCUUUUCACUAGAGUGACUUUCAGUAUUUUCUGGUGGUGUGUGUGUGUGUGUGUUACCUGCAAUACCAAGUAUCAAAUGGGAGGUGAAGGAUUUUGUUUGUUCAAGAACAAGGUCUAUGAAGGAGUUUUUGUGAAAUGAGUAUCUUUCAGUAAUAAAGCCUUUUAUGGGUAGGGUCUGUCUUCUGAUAUUUUAUAAUGCUUUUAAAAAAAUUGUAUUGUUUUGUAAUCAUUAUAUAGAUUCAUAGGAAGUUUGGGAGUGGGGAAAUAGAGUGGUCUCAGAGAUAAACUUCUGCCUCCAAGUUGAAAAUCAGGCAUAGUGAGCCUAUCUAGCCCAGCACAGGACAAGGAUGGGAAAAGAGGAGAGAAGUUUUUCUUUCUUCAUUCUUAGCCAGUGACCUCAUCUUACACUUUGAGAAAAAAGAAACCAACAGCGGUAUCAAACUUUUCUUCCUCUCCUAUUACAACAACGUAAGUGUUCCUGUUUGAUAUUUAUCAAAGUCCAAUUCCUUAGCUUAUACUAAGCAUCCCAAUUCUUUUCAUCUUUCUUGAACAACUAUCUCCUUUGGUUAAGGACCUCGCCCCUGCCUCAACAGUUUCUCUUAUUGGAUUUACCAGUUUAAUCUAGGCUGUUCUCAAUUUUUCGUUGUUGUUGUCAUGAUCCCUUUUCACACUUUAUGUGUGCAUUUAUUUUGUUGCAUUGUAUAUGAAAUUUUGUCCCACAUAGAUAUGCAGUUAGAAAAUAAAGAUGUACUCCAGUAAUUUUUUUCAGGUAAUUGUGGCUAUUAUUCUUAGACACUGUAUUAAUUUGACAAGAUAACACAUAAUAGAGUUCUGAAAUCCUAUCAAAGAACUUUUUCUACCUACUUCCAUAAAACCCAAUGGUUAUCUUAUACUCUGAAUACAUCUUUUACCCAUGCGUGAUUUUUUAAAUUCAUGCACCAGUCAUUUGGAAAGAAGAGUUCACCAAGUUAUAAAGUAUUUCCAAAUGUUGACACAGUUAAUUAUGUAAUUAAAAAAAAAAAAAAUUGGUUAAAUACCACCAAUCUCAUCAGAAAAGUUUUGAGAAGCUUUCAAGCUCAUGGUGGUUGAUAUCUUUAAGUUUUCCCCCAAUUUUUUUUUUUAAAGAUUUUAUUUAUUUUACAGACAGAGAUCACAGGUAGGCAGAGAGGCAGGCAGAGAGAAAGGAGGAAGCAGGCUCCCCGCUGAGCAGAGAGCCCGAUGUGGGACUCGAUCCCAGGACCCUGAGAUCAUGACCUGAGCAGAAGGCAGAGGCUUUAACCCACUGAGCCACCCAGGCGCCCCUCCCCAAAUUUUCUUUUAAAGAUUUUAUUUAUUUAUUUGACAGACAGAGAUCACAAGCAGGCAGAGAGGCGGGCAGAGAGAGAGAGAGGAGGAAGUAGGCUCCCCGCUGAGCAGAGAGCCCGAUGCGGGGCUCCAUCCCAGGACUCUGGGAUCACGACCUGAGCUGAAGGCAGAGGCUUUAACCCGCUGAGCCACCCAGGUGCCCCAAGUUUUCCCAAAUUUUAAUUUUUUACCCAAAACUUCAGCUUUCAUUAUUGCCAACAAAUGCUCUUGUUUUCUUUAAAGUGAUAAGCUUAUUACUUCAUUAUUUUUCAAGAAAAUGUCUGCCAAGUAAACAGUUUUGGCAAAAACAGCAUUCCAUUAAAAAAGCAAGCUGGGGGCACCUGGGUGCCUCAGUUGGUUACGAACCUGCCUUCGGCUCAGGUCAUGAUACCAAGGCCCUGUGAUCAAGACCCAAGUAGGGCUCCCUGUUCAGCAGAGCGCCUACUUCUCCCUCCCCCUGCUGCUCUGCCUACUUGUGCUAUCUCUGUCAAAUAAAUAAAUAAAAUCUUUAAAAACCACCAAAACAGCAAGCUGGUUCAGCUUUCAACUCAGCUGCUACGAUCUUUCCCCUCCAGACAACCACAAUUCUCAGGUGUAGAAGUGCUUUAUGCAGGCUUCCCAUUCUGUCUUACGUCUUACAGUAUAUUAAAAAGAUACAUACUCAAGCAUCAAGAUUUAAUUUUUUUUUUUUUUUUUUUUUUUACUGCUUCAGAAGAACAAUCAUGAAAGUACCUGGCUCCCCCUAACCCCUAGCUUUAAAUCGCAGUUUGUGUGCAGUGUGUGCAAUGUGCAGUGUUCAAGAACAGAGACAGCAUUUUGGUGCCACUGUCUUGAUUUUUGCUGAGGCACCAGCAUUUUUACCCACUGUUGCUUUUGUACCUGUUAAGUUCAAGUGUUAAAUAAUAAAAAGGCAAGUAACUGCUUAGUAUGAAAAUAGUUCUGACCUCCUGAAAGAACCAUGUAUCUCCUAAAGCUAUCAUCAUCUUUUGCCUGGAUGAUUCUAACCGUUCUGUCAACCUAUCUCCCUGACUUCAGUCUUGAAUCUAAUUCCUCCCUCCUCUGUUGCCAGAGUGAUUUUUCCUUAAUCUCAUUAGUUGCUAUUUAAGCCUCUUCAAAGGCUUCUAAUUGCCCCUGGAGUGAAAUCUAAGUUCCUUAUAAUAGCCUAUAAAGCUCUACAUAAUUUAACCGCUGCCUACGCUUCUGAAUUUUUAUCCCUACCUCCCCUCACUGACUGCCAUUCACACCAGUCAUCUUUCAUUUCCUUGAAAAAUGAUUUCUUACUCCAAGGUCUUGGGAAUGCACUUUUCCUGUUUAUUCCUGUGGCAAGUUAUUUAUCAGACUCAAGCAUUAUCCUUUCUGAGAACUCUCCCUGACCACCCAAUCUAGGAGGUUCCCUCUAGUUCUUUUUAUUUCCUUUGAAGGACCUUCUUAGUAUUCAAAUAGCUGACUUGUCAUCUGUGUUCCCUUCCCCCAGUGGAGUACAGACUUCAUAAAAGGCACUUUAUUCAGUCUUAUUUUAUACAUAGUAGUUAUUCUGAGUACUUGUUUCAUCAAUGGAUACUUAUCUUACUAUAGUAACCAAGUAGAAAUCAUUCCGAAGUUAAAGAAUCCCAUAUUAGUCUAUUCUAAAAACUGAAAUUCUAGCUACUUUAAUGAGUAGUAACUUAAACAGGGUCUUACAUAUUUAAAAAAAAAAAAAGUUUCUGUGGCCUUUGCCUUCCUAUUUAGGAUUCAUGAACUUACCAUGUGUGGCUUCUUGGUAACCAGGUGUCUUUGCCAACUUUUUCAAUGCAAAAUUUUUGAGGCCCAUUACUUCCUAAACCAGGAAAAUAAGACAAAUUUAUCUGGUUCUUUAAAGUUUUUGGUUUUGACAACAAGUAUAUAACACAAUAUGUCACAUAAUCCUAUGACUAAUACAGAAUACAAUGUAAAUCACUUCUGUCUAGAGAAGCUUCUUAAUGCUGCAGAAAUCCAGCAAUAAGAAAUCAGGGGAAAGAGAAGUAGCUCUAAAGAAUUUUGCUCCCUUCACAAUCACCCUAAGAAGAAAAGCAAUGGCCAACCAGACUAGAAUCAGCCUGUCAAUUAUUACAAAAAAUUCUUCCAGGAUGCUGACUGGGAUUGCACUGAACAUACAGAUCAAUUUGGAGAGAAAUGACAUUUCAUAAUAUUGAGUCUUAUAGUACAUAACAUGAUGUAUUUCUUCAUUAUUAAAGUCAUUUUUAAUUUUUCUGAGCAAAGUUUUGUGUUUUUAGGUAGAGAGCUCUUGCAUGCUCGUUUAAACUUGUUUAUUUUUUGGAUACUUUAUUACAUAAAACUUUAAGAUUUCAAUUUCCAAGUGUUGCUGGUACACAGAAGAUAGACUUGAUUUUUAAAUUACUGGCCUUCUACUCUGUACUCUUGCUAAACUCACUGUUAUUUCUAGUAGGUGGUUUUGUUUGUUUUUUGGGUUUUUUUUUUUUUUUUUUUUUUGGUAGGUUCGUUAGGAUUUUCUAGGUUGACAAUCAUGUUAUCAUCCAUGAAUAAAAGCCACUUUUUUACUCCUU